rnacentral:lncRNA from 1 species
GGUAAACAAGAAAACCAAACGGUGAGAUAAAAUAAUAAACUUUUGAAAUCUUACAAUGUUAAUUUUAUACUGUUUUCCUUAUUGAGGAUAUGGAACUCACUCUUUCCAUUCUCCCCCAGAUGAGGAAGAAAAUGAGGAACUGUAGGCAAACCUUCCUUCGGAAGUCUAUGAGGAUCCCUUGGAUCCACAAGUUUAAGUUGUUGACUGUUCCUGCACUCUCAUGAAUUUCAGAAGCAUAGUGAAAGAAGUGGCCCUUAUAUUUGUAUUUUGUAGCCACUUCUGGCUUCAGUGAUGUAUGUAUUUAGAACACUAUAUAUAUUU